AUUUUUGCCAUGUGAGAAAUUGAUGGGGUCAGGUACAAAGGCAACAUGAGUGCUUCCUCCAAUAUGUUGAAAUAUAGUUUGAAUAGACAUAAUGCAUAACCUGCUGGUUCUUCCACAGGAGUGACUAUGCUGAUAUUCAUCAUUAAAGAGGUUCAGAAAUUAUAUAUGGUAAUUUUAAUUUGUACCAUUGAUGCCAAAGCACAGUCAUAUUACUGCAUAGAAAGAAAAAUAAGACUAUUUCUCUAAUUCUUGCUCAGCUUCCAUAGGAAACAUGCACAGAGAAGCAAUCAAGUAGAGUGUAGUGGGGUAAAACAGCCCUCAGUUUGAGACAGUUUUCCUAAUUGAUAACUGUGUGUGACCUUAGACAAGUUAUAUAUAUUUGCUAAGAUAUUUCUUAUUGGUCCAGUGAGGAUCAUAUACCUACAUCAUAAAUAUGCUGUUAAGACAAUUUCUGCCAUGUGGUAUAUGCUCGGUAAAUUUUAGUUACUAUUUUUGUUUUGCUGUUUUUAUCAUUCAAGUAUAUUUGGUAAGGCAACAAUAUACAACUCUAUUGAAUCAGGAGCCCGUGCUUUGCAGGAUUUUCUGAAAAUAUCUUUCAAAUAUUUGUCAGAGCACAACACUAACCAGCACAUUAAAUCUGUGUACAAAAGCCAGCACCGUCCCUUCUAUUGCGGCAAACCUAUAAUAGUCUAGAAAAAUGUAGGUGAACGUGGUGAAAAAGGACAGCCUGCCCCGGUCCCUCCACAUGUGCCUGGCACCCAGAUCUGGAUUAAACUUUCCUAGUGCUGAUGGCACGUAGGAAUCUGGGGGCCCCUCAAGCUAACUGUGAGAAAAUUCCCUGUCUAAAGUGAGUCAGUGGAUUUUUCUUUUUCUUUUUCUUUUUUUUCUUUGUUUUUUUCUUUAGUAGUGCCUCUAUAAUCCUAAAACAUUUAAAACAGAACUGGGUUUUAAACAAGCAAUGUCAUGCCUGUCAAAACAGUUUGAGAGAGUCUAUAAAAUAAGCUUAUGGGAAGAGAUGGUACUUUGUGAGAAGAGAGCUAAAGUAAAAUAGAAAGUUCUGGCAAAACUUAGAGAUCAGAAGUAGCAACUGUUUUCCUGGGCAGAUGCCUGUAAUUUGGACAAAGAGUUGAAAACUAGAAUGUAAUUCAUCAGCUUUUCUUGGGCUAUAUCAAGGAUGGACAAACAUUUUCUGUCAAGAAACAGCUAUUAAGUAUUUUAGGCUAUGUAGGCCAAGAGGCAAAAUAAAGACUAUAAUGUAGGUACUGUUUAACAAAAGUGCAAACAAGUUCCCCAAACUUGGUAUUGACAAAAUUCAGAAUAUAAAAAUAAUAAUUGAAUACAAUUUUAAAAAAUACAAGUCAGCCAAUCAAAAGAAUAUAAUCCUUUCUUGGAGGCAAAUAAAAUUUUUGCAUAAUUAUGGUUCAAAGUCAGUGUUCCCUAUCAUCCACUUUAUUUUAAGUGUUCAUUUUAUGGACUGAAUUGUGUCUGCCCAAAAUGCCUUUAUUUAAGCUCUAAUCCCCAAAAUGACUGUAUUUGGAUACAGGACUUACGAUAGUAAAAGUUACAAGAGUUCUUAAGGAUGACACCCUAAUUUCAUAGGCUUGGUUGUCCUUAUAAGAAGAGAAAGAGACCCCAGAGAUCUCUCUCCCUCUGCCCGUGCAAGAGAAAAGACCAGUAAGAACACAGCAAGAAGUAGAUAAUCAAGAAGCCAGGAAGAGAGGCCUCAUCAGAAAUUAACCCUGAAAGCACCUUGAUCUCAGACUUCCAGACUCCAGAACUGUGAGAAAAUAAAUUUCUGUUGUUUAAGCACCCAGUCCAUGAUAUUUUGUUAUGGUAGCCAUAGAAGACUAACAUAAACUGUAUAAAUCAUUCUUAACUUACUGGCCAUCCAAAAACAGGUGGCUAGCAGAAGUUUGCUAACCCUAAGCUGAAUGAUCCAGAAAUAAACUACUUCUGGAAAAUUUUCUUGAAUGCAAUCAGGGAAGUAAAGUAGCCCACAUGCAGCUUAUUUGCUCUGGAAUCAGAAGCACUGAGGGCUCUAAUAUUUCUUCAAUAAAGUCUUUUCUGGUCAGUCCAUUGUAUAGAGACUAUAUUCUCUCCUCUGAACUCAGAGAUCACACUGUCUAUCCUCCCCACUAGGAAUUUACACACUUGCAUUUCUCUUCAUAUUGUCAUUGAACAUUCACGGUGUCCUAGACCAUCAUAAUCUUAGCAGUGCCUUAUAAGUAUUAGUAAAUAAGUUGAUUUUAAAUCACUAGCUUUAGAGAGUUCAGGAUUUGGAUCUGUUCCUGGGAGCUUCACAUUUCUGGUGUUUUAGAGAUGGUUGAGGGCUUUUAAAAGUAACAUGGACAUGCUGUGAAUAUGU
rnacentral:lncRNA from 1 species